rnacentral:rRNA from 1 species
ACCUGCGGAGGGAUCAUUACCGAGUCUAAACAACUCAUCAACCCUGUGAACAUACCUAAAACGUUGCUUCGGCGGGAACAGACGGCCCCGUGAAACGGGCCGCCCCCGCCAGAGGACCCCCUAACUCUGUUGCUAUAUGUAUCUUCUGAGUAAACAAGCAAAUAAAUUAAAACUUUCAACAACGGAUCUCUUGGCUCUGGCAUCGAUGAAGAACGCAGCGAAAUGCGAUAAGUAAUGUGAAUUGCAGAAUUCAGUGAAUCAUCGAAUCUUUGAACGCACAUUGCGCCCGCCAGUAUUCUGGCGGGCAUGCCUGUUCGAGCGUCAUUACAACCCUCAGGCCCCCGGGCCUGGCGUUGGGGAUCGGCGAGGCGCCCCCCUGCGGGCACGCGCCGUCCCCCAAAUACAGUGGCGGUCCCGCCGCAGCUUCCAUUGCGUAGUAGCUAACACCUCGCAACUGGAGAGCGGCGCGGCCAUGCCGUAAAACACCCAACUUCUGAAUGUGA